CCUACGGGCGGCAGCAGUGAGGAAUAUUGGUCAAUGGACGAGAGUCUGAACCAGCCAAGUAGCGUGAAGGAUGACUGCCCUAUGGGUUGUAAACUUCUUUUAUAUGGGAAUAAAACGUUGCACGUGUGGGAUUUUGUAUGUACCAUAUGAAUAAGGAUCGGCUAACUCCGUGCCAGCAGCCGCGGUAAUACGGAGGAUCCGAGCGUUAUCCGGAUUUAUUGGGUUUAAAGGGAGCGUAGGUGGAUUGUUAAGUCAGUUGUGAAAGUUUGCGGCUCAACCGUAAAAUUGCAGUUGAAACUGGCAGUCUUGAGUACAGUAGAGGUGGGCGGAAUUCGUGGUGUAGCGGUGAAAUGCUUAGAUAUCACGAAGAACUCCGAUUGCGAAGGCAGUUCACUGGACUGCAACUGACACUGAGGCUCGAAAGUGUGGGUAUCAAACAGGAUUAGAUACCCCAGUAGUC
rnacentral:rRNA from 1 species